UGGACAAAGAAGGCGCUGCAGCGCAGGCGCACUCCUGCCACCGCCGCUCGAUGGCCGACGCCGCUGCAUCACCUUCUCUUCCUCCCCUCUCUCACGCCGCCGCCGCCGCCGCUCAGCACAUCUCGGCCUCCCCUUCCUUGCAGCUUCUUUCCGUCCCAAUCAAGACUCGUCGAUCCCCUCGACCCCGGCCGGGCGCGAUGGUCAGGUCGCCGGCGGCACCAACCCCGACCCCCAGGUCACCGGCAGCCCCAACCCCGACCUCCACCUCACCAGCAGCCCCAACCCUGACCCCUAGGUCGCCGGUUUCCCCAACCCCGACCCCCAGCUCACCUGCUGCAGGAGCACAAGGUUACUAAUGAGCUCUUGCGUGCCAUAAAAACUGAGAAGGCUAAUGACCGGAUCUUGAAGAGCACAAGGGUGCUGGUGAGCUCCUUAUGGAACUACCAAAGUGCAAGAAAAGGAAGCGAAGUAGGCAGAGUAGCGGCGAGCUUCAUGGGGAACACCAAAAAACGAGCAAAGUCAUCAUGAAGCCGUCGACGUCCAAGAAAAAGAGGAAGGCAAGUGAAGGAAUGUGCACUAAUCCACCGGCACCAUUGUUUGGACCUUUGGCCAUUGAUAUGGAUAAGCAGGCACCACCAUUGGAGAAGAAAAGGCUUAAUAAGAGAGAUGUUGCAACUAUAGCAUCACUUGGAUCUGGGUCCAUUGACAAGGAUAAGCAGCCAUCACCUGGAUCUUUGCCUGUUGACAAGGAUAAGCAGCCAUCACUUGGAUCUUUGCCCCUUAACAGUAAUAAGCAGCCAUCAUAUGGAUCUUUGCCCGUUGACAAGAAUAAGCAUCCAUCACUAUCCAAAAACGUGGUAAGGUCUCCAGUCCUAAACAAUGUCGUAGUUUCAUUCUUAGCAAGAAGAGAAAAAAAGGCUAAGUCACUAGAGAGAUCCCCUACGUCAUAGCCUUCACUGCUAGCUCUGUCACCCAAAGUAGCAAACCUUGGUUCACGCAGACCACGAAAAUUAAAAUCAAAAAUUUGGAACGGGGCAGAACUGAUAUAUAUUGAUGGAAUGCUUGCACAAGGUCGUUGUACUUACUGCAACCAACUACUUCCUGCCUCAAAAAAGUCAGGGACAAGUCAUAUCGGUACACUUGUUGGUACGUGAGGAGAGAUCUAAAAUGGAUGGUAUGGUUGCCAAGAUACGAACUGAUAGUGCAAUUGAUCCAGAGUGGAAGUUUGACCAAGGGCGUGCACGUAGAGCACUGGCAAAGUUGAUUGUGCUACAUGAAUUACCUUUCACUUUUGUUGAAUAUCCUGGCUUUAGAUCCUUUGUUAAGAUGUUGAAUCCAUGGUUCAAUGUGGUAUGCAGGGAAACAAUUAAACAAGAUUGCAUUGAUGCAUAUGAUAGACACAAAAAUGAAACUCAAGCAUUUUUUUAGCAAUCUAAAUUCUCGAGUAUCAUUAACGAGUGACAUGUGGACGUCCAAUCAGAAGCUGGGUUAUUUAUGCAUAACUGCCCACUUUAUUGAUGGCUCAUGGACUCUACAAAACAGAAUAAUCAGGUUUUGCCUCUUGGAAACUCCACAGAAUACUCAUAACAUGUUUGACAUGGUGCAAAAUAGCUUGAGAGAUUGGAAAAUGGAAGACAAAAUCUUUAGCUUUACCCUAGACAAUGCACCAGUUAAUACCUUGAUGUGGCCACUUGAGAAAAAUUUCGGCAGAUAGGUAUCUUCUGCAUCAUAGUGGAAAAUUAUUGCAUGUUAGAUGUGCUGCACAUGUAUUGAAUCUAGUGGUGCAAGAUGGGCUCGACGCAGUGGCGUCAGUUGUUGAUAAAAUCAGAGAACCAGUGCAGUAUGUCAAGAGUUCGCAAGGUAGAAUGGAGAAAUUAUAUGUGAUGAUUGCGCGGGUGGGACUUGCUUGUAAAAACCAUCCUUCGCUAGAUGUGCCUACCCGAUGAAAUUCAACGUACCUAAUGCUUGAAUCAUCAUUGUCGUUCAGAGCAGCGUUCGAAGCCUUGAAAGAAGCUGACAAAGAUUAUAAAUUUGCUCCUUCAGCUAGUGAACGGGAGAUGGCCGAAGCUAUUUGCCAUCUUUUGGGCGCUUUUUACACAGCCACAAAGAAAAUCUCGGGUAGGACAUAUCCCACCUCUCACCUAUACUUCUAUGAGGUCUGGAAUGUGAAGCAGAUAAUGGAGAGAGAAGUUGUAAGUGAAAAUCCUACCAUUGUUACCAUGGUGAAAGAGAUGGGGAAGAAAUUGAUCAAAUAUUUUGAGGAGUCAUUCUUAGCAAGUUGUCUGCCGGUGAUAUUUGAUCCAAGGUACAAAUAUGAAUAUGUUGACUUCCGACUGACCGCAGCGUUUGGUGAUGGCGCAAAGAAAUAUCUUACCUAGGUGAAUAGUGCGAUGAAGAUCCUAUUUGCUGAAUAUGCAUCUGAAUUUGGAAACACUUCUGAUGAAGGUGAUGAGGUUGCAGAGAAGGAUGGUGAGGGCACUCUUGAUGACUGGGAUAAGCAUUUGAGAUUGAAAAGAUCCCAUAACUCAAAUGAGCUACAACGAUAUCUUGAAGAAGACUUGUUUCCUCGCCGACAGAAAUUGGAUAUCUUAAAGUGGUGGAAGAUUCACUCCCCAAAGUAUCUGGUGCUUGCAGCUAUAGCACAGGACAUAUGGGAGUGUCCGCGUCUACAGUGCAUGCAGAGGUUGCAUUCAGCAAUGCUGGAUGGAUCAUCACUGAACAAAGAAGUAGUUUGACCCCGAGUACUGUUGAGACGCUGAUGUGCCUUGAGGAUUGGUUUCGAGCAGCUGAUCGCCAAAAGGCGGAACCAACAGUUGAAGACCAUGGUGGUGAUCAAGAGGAUGUUGGAACCACCUAAUGUAAUUCUGCUAGUUGUACUUUGCACUUUAGUACAUGAUAUAUUUUUAUUCUCGAAAAGAGAUGACCUUUAUAUUUGGCCAAGCUCAUUGUCCAAGGGUUUUUGAGAUGCAUAGAGAUUCCUUUUUAAAACAGCUAGUACAAAUGACCCCUUCCAAGUCGCUAAUUCUGUUUCAAAUUCUAGUUUUAUUCGAA